AUGCUGGACAUUAAUCUGUUUAGAGUAAGAAAAGCCACAACCCCGAAAUCAUCCGCAACUCGCAGCGCCGUCGUUUCAAGAGCGUUGACCUUGUUGACAAGGUGAUCGACCUCGACCAACUAUGGUGCCAAAGACAAUUCGAGUUCGAGAAUCUCAAGAGAGAGUUCAAGCAGAUCAACAAGGAAAUGUUUCAGCUUAAAAUUAAAGAUGCUGAGUUGAAUAAAAAGGCAGAGGAAAAGAAGAGGUUGGUGGCAGAGAAAGAAGCUGAAGUUGGAGAAGAUUUAGCACAAAGGAAUUCAAGCUUGGAAGAAAUUGGGAACAUUGUCCAUGAUUCAGUCCCCAUCAGCGAAGAUGAGGCAAACAAUGAAGUGGUUAGAUCAUGGGGAGAAAAGCGGGUGGAGGCAGCACUGAAAAAUCAUGUCGAGCUUUGUAGGCUUCUUGGGAUUGCUGACUUUGAGAGAGGUGCUCAAGUGGCUGGAUCCAGAGGUUAUUACAUUGAAGGCGUCGGCUUAGACCUUCAUGAAGCUCUCAAAAACUUUGCUCUAGAUUUUCUUGAGGACAAGAAAUUCAAGAAAAUCACUCCUCCAUUUUCUAUGAAACAAGACGUCAGGGCCAAAUGUGCUCAAUUACAGGAAUUCGACGACGAGCUUUAUAAGGUAACUGGUGAAGGAGUUGACAAGUAUCUGAUUGCUACUGCUGAACAGCCUCUAUGUGCUCGUCACAAGGAUGAAUGGUUCCAUCCCUCCCAGCUACCCAAGAAAUAUGCUGGAUUUUCAUAUUGCUUCAGGACAGAAGCUGGCUCGCAUGGACGAGACACAUUGGGGCUUUUUAGGACUCAUGAGUUCGCCAAAGUAGAACAAUUCUGUAUUACCAGCCCAAAUGGAAAUGACUCCUGGGAUAUGCAUGAGGAGAUGAUCAUGAACUCAGAGGAGUUCUACAGAAAGCUUAGCAUUCCAUAUCGCGUAGUGAACAUUGUUUCGGGUGCUUUGAAUGGUGCAGCUGCAAAGAAGUAUGACUUAGAAGGCUGGUUUCCUGCAUCACAGACAUAUAGAGAACUGGUCUCGUGUUCAAACUGUACAGACUUUCAAUCCAGAAAAUUAGAAAUUAGAUAUAUAUGGACAGGCAAUGAGAAGACGAAGCAAUAUGUACACAUGUUGAACUCCACCCUUUACUGCAAUUGGGAGAACUAUGUGCUGCAUUCUCGAAAACUAUCAAAGGGAGGAUGGUGUUGAGGUACCAGAAGGUUUACGACAGUACAUGCGUGGCAAGAACUUCUUACCUUUUGAACAUUGAUGAACCCUCAAAUUGUGUACUUCUAAAUAAGCAUUAAAAAAGCUCCAGAAAAAUAGU